rnacentral:rRNA from 1 species
UGGCGGCGUGGAUAAGACAUGCAAGUCGAACGGGAUAUUACGAGUAGCAAUAUGAGUGAUGUUCAGUGGCGAACGGGUGCGUAACACGUGGAUACAUUCCGGGAAGCGGGGGAUAGCCCAGGGAAACUUGGAUUAAUACCGCAUGUGGUCGAAAGACUAAAGACGGGGACCGCAAGGCCUGUCACUUCCCGAUUGGUCCGCGGCCUAUCAGCUAGUUGGCGGGGUAAAAGCCCACCAAGGCUACGACGGGUAGCUGGUCUUAGAGGACGACCAGCCACACUGGAACUGAGACACGGUCCAGACACCUACGGGUGGCAGCAGUCGAGAAUCUUUCACAAUGGGGGCAACCCUGAUGGAGCGACGCCGCGUGGAGGAUAAGGUCUUCGGAUUGUAAACUCCUGUCAUGCGCGAACAAGGUUGCAUGGGUAAUAACUGUGCAAGUUAAUGGUAGCGCAAGAGGAAGAGACGGCUAACUCUGUGCCAGCAGCCGCGGUAAUACAGAGGUCUCAAGCGUUGUUCGGAAUCACUGGGCGUAAAGGGUGCGUAGGUGGCAUGGUAAGUCAGAUGUGGAAGCCCAGGGCUCAACCUUGGAAUUGCAUCCGAUACUGCUGUGCUAGAGUACUGGAGGGGUGACUAGAAUUCUCGGUGUAGCAGUGAAAUGCGUAGAUAUCGAGAGGAAUACCAAAGGCGUAGGCAGGUCACUGGACAGUUACUGACACUGAGGCACGAAGGCCAGGGGAGCAAACGGGAUUAGAUACCCCGGUAGUCCUGGCAGUAAACGGUGCAUACUUGGUGUGGGAAGAUUCGACCCUUCCUGUGCCGGAGCUAACGCGUUAAGUAUGCCGCCUGGGAAGUACGGUCGCAAGA